rnacentral:rRNA from 1 species
UUCCGGUUGAUCCUGCCGGAGGCCAUUGCUAUUGGAGUCCGAUUUAGCCAUGCUAGUUGUACGAGUUUAGACUCGUAGCAGAUAGCUCAGUAACACGUGGCCAAACUACCCUCUGGAGCGCGACAACCUCGGGAAACUGAGGCUAAUCGCGCAUACCGCUCUCAGGCUGGAACUGCCGAGAGCGCGAAAUGCUCCGGCGCCAGAGGAUGUGGCUGCGGCCGAUUAGGUAGACGGUGGGGUAACGGCCCACCGUGCCAGUAAUCGGUACGGGUUGUGAGAGCAAGAGCCCGGAGACGGUAUCUGAGACAAGAUACCGGGCCCUACGGGGCGCAGCAGGCGCGAAACCUUUACACUGCACGCCAGUGCGAUAAGGGGACUCCAAGUGCGAGGGCAUAGAGCCCUCGCUUUUCUGUACCGUUAGGUGGUACAAGAAUA